AGUUAAUUGACUCCAACUAUA
rnacentral:miRNA from 10 species